CACCUUUUGUAUUUUUUUCUAGAUCAUAAGCAACUCUCUGCUUGACUUAGAAGGCUGCAAAGCCCUUACAGAAAUCUAAAGCAAGCACCAAAGUAGUAAUGCUGGGAGAGAAUUUGGAGCUGCCCCAUGCCAGUUUUCAGGUCACCGUACUGGGGCUAGGAAGGACCUCUGGCUCCAUGUUUCUGGGCUUCUCCUGUCCAAGCAUUGAUACCAUACCCUCCAAGCACACAGAGAGUAUCCACAAGGCCUCCAUUUGCCAACCAGCUGUCUGUGAAGACCUCUUCCAGCAGGACCAAGCUCUAGGUAUUUUACGGUGACAUGACUGACGAACUGUGAGGCAAUAAAGAGCAGGUGGCUUACUUUGAAUUCCAAGUUCUCCAGAGAUGGAAUUUUCUGGAUGUUUAGGAACCAAAAGUACACUCAGAUAUAACCAAUUCAUGCCUUAUAUCAGCAGACUAAGCAUAUGCCGACAGUAUGAAAUUCUUGUAUAUUCAAGCAUUUCACUUCAGUGCAACAGUGAAAAAGUGGCCUGUUUUGAAAGUGGGAAGAGGUUAAUGGAAUCAUUUUCAAGUAUGCUGAGCUGGAUCCUGAGAGUUAAGAAGACUGAGCCAUUUUGGCUGUGUGUUUUAUAAGCCAUACGUAUCUACAGAUGCCAGAAAAAAGUUCAAAAAUCAUAUUAGGAACCCUAGACUGCUUUUUCUACUUCACUAGGUACAAUUUUCAAGGUCUUUAUAAGCCAGGAGAACCCCUUCCUCCCCACAAAGCCAAUAAAAGACCAAACUGGAGGGCUAAAGGGAAAAAC
rnacentral:lncRNA from 1 species